GCUGCCAUCACCCUCUCGCCUCUGCCUUCUCCCGAUCGUUGCGAGCAAGACGACGACAAUCUCCCCUAUUGGCAGCUCCUCUCUAGCCACAAGUAAGGAAUUAUGAUAGCCCUAAUCUUGAUCUAUGCCGUCACUCACCCCUUCACAUCUCCUCUUCCACUCACGCGCCAGAUGGUGCUGAUCCACCGUGAGAGGGAUCAAUGCUGCCCAACCGUUAGCAUCUGGCUGCACAGUUGUUCCCUCCUCUAUUCACUAACACACAAGCCGCCACUCGCCGUAAAGUUAGACGCGGUUUCGACCGCUGGCCACUAUCCUUUCGCAGGCCACCAUUCAUGUGAGUUGUCGAGGUUGGCAGUCCACUAUCGUCGUUGAUCUCUCCUUCUAGCGAGCCACCACCGCGAGCAUAGAUUGUUGUCAUCGUUGUUGCUACAUCAUCACCAUCGACCGUUGGCCACUAAUGAAGUCAUUACUACCUUCAUAGAAGUAGGAGAAGAAGAACGGAGGAGGAUGGUGAUACGAGAAGAGCAUUCUGACAUGAAGACAUUUGGGCCAAUCUGCACUUGAGGAUGGUGAUACGAGAAGAGCAUUCUGACAUGAAGACAUUUGGGCCAAUCUACAUUUGAGGUAGAAAAUAAAGUCUUGUCACUCAGAGAUCCUAGCUGUCGGUCCCCUAUCGUCUGAGAUGUCUCAUAGUCAUUCUUAUGUUGUCGUGGGGCACUUUGACUUUCUAGUAUUUGAAUUUUACUAAGGAUUGAUUUUCCAUAUAGUUGUUCUACUUAUUUAUUUCUGAGUGUAUGGUUUUUUUUAGAUAUGUGCACAUGCAAAUAUUUAUCUAUGUACAUAUUUUAUGUUGGUAUGAUUAUUGUCUUCUGUGGUGUUUUGUUUUA